UUCUUGCGCCCGCGACCCGGAAGAUGAGGCACCCUCUGACCCGAUCCCAUCCCCGGGGCCGGAUGCUGUGGGCAAGGCUGGCGCCCGAGUGCUUAUGGCGGAUCCAGAGUUCAGUUAGAACACCUCCGGUGACCCCGGGGCCGGGAGGAGCCGCCUCCACUGCCCAUCUGAUUGUGGCAACGCCUCCGCCUCCCAUCUGGGUAGUUAUAGCUGCAGCUUUACCGUCUCCGCUGCCUCAUGGGAGCCCGGGUGAACUCGAGGUUGGUCCCUGAGCCACAUCUGAACCCUCAGAAUGUCUCCAGAUGAAGAAGGUUUAUUUUUUACUUCUUCCAGGAGCAAGAGACAGCAGAGAGAGAGGCACCCCAAGAGGGUCUUCAUACCACAAUCUGUCUUAGCUCAGCCAGCUUAGAUCAUGGUUGUGUAUGGAGAGACCUUGAGACAAGAACCUGGGACCUUCAAACAUGAGUCCAGCAUCACAGAGCAUUCCAUUACUGCUGUGCUACCAAGGCUGGCCUUCCCAUCUUGUUUCUUGGUGUUACUGUGUGCCCAACUUCUGUGAUAAUGUCAGAAUGUCUAGCUUUCCACUUCAAGAAAGCAUUCCAUCCUUUGCUCCCUCUUUCUUGGCUUCUAAUGAAUAAAGGAAGAUAUUCUAAG